CUUAAAUAGAAAUCAUAGUAAGCAUUUCUAAGUAAUUUUUGGUAUUUACAAAGAUUCUACAAUUGAAAUAUCCAGAACUGAAUUAAUUUUAAUGAUUUACUUUAACUAAAAAAAAAAAAGUUAUUAUUUUGAAUCCCUCUUGUGGGCAGGUAAAGGGUUAGAUUUAUAAAAAAAACCAAAUGA